rnacentral:snoRNA from 1 species
UCUCUGUGAUGAUGAUACUUAGCUCACUUUGACCCGCUGUGAAACAACACGAACUUCUGAGCGAC